rnacentral:rRNA from 1 species
UACGAGGGAUGCAAGCGUUAUCCGGAAUUAUUGGGCGUAAAGCGUUUGUAGGCGGGCGAGUGUGUUUAAUGUUAAAUCUUAAAGCUCAACCUUGAAAUUGCGUUAAAAACUGCUUGUCUUGAGUAUGGUAGGGGUAAAGGGAAUUCCCAGUGUAGCGGUGAAAUGCGUAGAUAUUGGGAAGAACACUAAACAGCGAAGGCACUUUACUAGGCUAAUACUGACGCUGAGAAACGAAAGGUAAGGUAGCGAAACGGAUUAGAUACCCGUGUAGUCUUACCCGUAAACUAUGGACACUAAACGGUAAAUUUUUAAUUUACUGUUAAAGCUAACGCGUUAAGUGUCCCGCCUGGGGAGUAUGCUUGCAAAAGUGAAACUCAAAGGAAUUGACGGGGGCCCGCACAAGCGGUGGAGCAUGUGGUUUAAUUCGACGGUACACGAAGAACCUUACCAGGAUUUGACAUGCUAGAUAGUUGCUUGAAAGAGUAACGUGCCGUAAGGAAUCUAGACACAGGUGGUGCAUGGCUGUCGUCAGUUCGUGUUGUGAAAUGUUGGGUUAAGUCCCGCAACGAACGCAACCCUUGUCUUUAGUUAUUUUCUAAAGAGACUGCCUGUAAUAAACAGGAGGAAGGUAAGGAUGAGGUCAAGUCAUCAUGCCCCUUAUGUCCUGGGCUACACACGUGCUACAAUGGGAAAGACAAUGAGCUGCAAAUCUGUAAAUUUAAGCAAAUCUCUUAAACUUUCUCGUAGUUCGGAUUGUGGGCUGCAACUCGCCCACAUGAAGUUGGAAUCGCUAGUAAUCGCCAGUCAGCUAUAUGGCGGUGAAUCCGUUCCCGGGCCU